CGUGUAGGCGGCCACGCAGGUCCGUUGUGAAAACUGGGGGCUCAACUUCCAGACGUCGACGGAAACCGUGUGGCUAGAGUCCGGAAGAGGAGAGUGGAAUUCCUGGUGUAGCGGUGAAAUGCGCAGAUAUCAGGAAGAACACCAAUGGCGAAGGCAGCUCUCUGGGACGGUACUGACGCUGAGACGCGAAAGCGUGGGGAGCGAACA
rnacentral:rRNA from 1 species